rnacentral:rRNA from 1 species
UAACGCGUGGGAAACCUGCCCUGUACCGGGGGAUAACACUUAGAAAUAGGUGCUAAUACCGCAUAAGCGCACAGCUUCACAUGAGGCAGUGUGAAAAACUCCGGUGGUACAGGAUGGUCCCGCGUCUGAUUAGCCAGUUGGCAGGGUAACGGCCUACCAAAGCGACGAUCAGUAGCCGGCUUGAGAGGGUGAACGGCCACAUUGGGACUGAGACACGGCCCAAACUCCUACGGGAGGCAGCAGUGGGGAAUAUUGCACAAUGGGGGAAACCCUGAUGCAGCGACGCCGCGUGAGUGAAGAAGUAUUUCGGUAUGUAAAGCUCUAUCAGCAGGGAAGAAAAUGACGGUACCUGACUAAGAAGCCCCGGCUAACUACGUGCCAGCAGCCGCGGUAAUACGUAGGGGGCAAGCGUUAUCCGGAUUUACUGGGUGUAAAGGGAGCGUAGACGGCAUGACAAGCCAGAUGUGAAAACCCAGGGCUCAACCCUGGGACUGCAUUUGGAACUGCCAGGCUGGAGUGCAGGAGAGGUAAGCGGAAUUCCUAGUGUAGCGGUGAAAUGCGUAGAUAUUAGGAGGAACACCAGUGGCGAAGGCGGCUUACUGGACUGUAACUGACGUUGAGGCUCGAAAGCGUGGGGAGCAAACAGGAUUAGAUACCCUGGUAGUCCACGCGGUAAACGAUGAUUGCUAGGUGU